GACGAACGCUGGCGGCGUGCUUAACACAUGCAAUUCGAACGGAAAGGCCCUGCUUGCAGGGUACUCGAGUGGCGAACGGGUGAGUAACACGUGGGUGAUCUGCCCUGCACUUCGGGAUAAGCCUGGGAAACUGGGUCUAAUACCGGAUAGGAGCCAUUUUUAGUGUGAUGGUUGGAAAGUUUUUUCGGUGUAGGAUGAGCUCGCGGCCUAUCAGCUUGUUGGUGGGGUAAUGGCCUACCAAGGCGGCGACGGGUAGCCGGCCUGAGAGGGUGGACGGCCACAUUGGGACUGAGAUACGGCCCAGACUCCUACGGGAGGCAGCAGUGGGGAAUAUUGCACAAUGGGCGCAAGCCUGAUGCAGCGACGCCGCGUGGGGGAUGACGGCCUUCGGGUUGUAAACUCCUUUCGCUAGGGACGAAGCUUUUUGUGACGGUACCUAGAUAAGAAGCACCGGCGAACUAAGG
rnacentral:rRNA from 1 species